rnacentral:rRNA from 1 species
AUUGAACGCUGGCGGCAGGCCUAACACAUGCAAGUCGAACGAGUGGCGGACGGGUGAGUAAUGUCUGGGAAACUGCCUGACGGAGGGGGCUAACUACUGGAAACGGUAGCUACUACCGCAUACCAUCGGAUGUGCCCAGAUUGGAUUAUCUAGUAGGUGGGGUAACGGCUCACCUAGGCGACGAUCCCUAGCUGGUCUGAGAGGAUGACCGGCCACACGGGAACUAGGACCCGGUCCAGAUUCCUACGGGAGGCAGCAGUGGGGAAUAUUGCACAAUGGGCGCAAGCCUGAUGCAGCAAGGCCGCGUGGAUAAAGAAGGCCUUCGGGUUGUAAAGUACGUUCAGCGGGGAGGCGUUACCGGCAGAAGAAGCACCGGCUAACUCCGUGCCAGCAGCCGCGGUAAUUC